rnacentral:pre_miRNA from 14 species
CUGUUCGCUGUUGGAGCAUCAUCAAGAUUCACAAAUCAUCAAGUAUUCGUGUAAAUAAACCCAUUUAUGAUUAGAUUUUUGAUGUAUGUAUGAGAAUCUUGAUGAUGCUGCAGCUGCAAUCAG